UUGACCUCGGAUCAGGUAGGGAUACCCGCUGAACUUAAGCAUAUCAAAAA
rnacentral:rRNA from 1 species